UGACCCUAACACAAACACAGCCACAGCAUUUUGUGCUGACCAUAAGUAAUGCCUCAGUGCAUUUGAUAUUCCCUAGCAUCGCAUUAGGAUUGAAUCAUGAUGGACCCACUUUCUAUCCUUCUGAACACAGAGAAUGGGCCCGUCAAAUUGAUGACAAACGGCAAACUGUCAAUUUAGAGUCCUGUACUAUCCGAGAACAACUAGGGUUUAUCUGUGAAGGUAAUGCAAUAAUAGCUCAAGAUAUCUGUUUAGACACAGAACAAAAUAGCUGUCAUUUUGAUAUUCAUCCUAACGAGACUUCUGAAACAGUCCUUGUAUAUACAGGCAAUGGGCGUGUAUAUACAAGAACCACUUGUGAUACUGUGUUUAUAGAAAGUACAGUAGUAGAUACUAAAAAUCAUUCAAAUUAUUGUGCUUGCAACUUUACUAAAAUUGCAGGAUGUGAUUUUUCUUUUGUAGCUCCAGUUACCUUACAUGAACUUUUAGAAUCCAAUCUCAUGUUGAUUCACAAGCUACUGCCUACUCCCAUUGGGAUGAACCUUACUUUGGUAAAGCAACCAUUACUUCAUCAAGAUCUAAUAGAGAUCCUAGGAAAAAUCAAGGAGAAUGGACAGAAAACUCUGUCCUGAAGACUCCACGACGACACCAUGGAACCCUGCUGAUGAAGAUCUUUCGAGGGCAAUCGUCACUCACGGGGUGGUGUAAGAGCCCGUCUGAAGCCCCUCAUUUUCCAUUCUGCCUUCCGAUUGCCACAAGAAAGAAUCCCUUCCUCCACUGCAGUUCCGGCUUAGAACAGGACACAGUGCAGGUGCAACCACUGAACCGUCAUGCUGGCUGAUCCCAACAAGGCCUGGUAAGAACUUGGCAAGGACUUGGCAAGGACUUGGCAAAGACCUGACGUGGACCCAGCACGGGACAGCCUGAUGCGCGGCCUGCUUCUAAUCUCCGUUCUUAAGCCAAAUGAACUUUUGGGGUGACUCCCGGGGUCCUUCAUUGAAGACCCCUCAUCUGCCUCGUUACCAGUGUGACAAACAAAGAAUGAGAACCCUCCUCCCAAGGACUGAGACUGAGACCCCUGCUAUAGGGAGGAGGGGAAAUUGGUGGUCUGACCACUAAUGACAUGACCUGUUUCCCUUCAGUGAUUCAAAUGGACUUAUUCUUCAUUGGAUUCGUCUUGCUUUGGUGGUUUCUGUGGACUCACCUGUUCCCGCGUGGCGAUUACAAUGGACUUUCGUUGUUACACUUGCUCCCCCCUCUUUCCUCUGUGGACUAUAACUGGAGCCCCGAGUCGACCAGAACUUCGGAGACUCCCCCGACACGACAGACGGAUCCCCAUCGUCCGGACCACUGAGGAUCUCGCCUGUGUUGGUAGCUAUUCCCAUACCCCUCUCUCUCUCUCUCUCUCUCUCUCCUUUUAUCUCCUUUCCGAUCCCCACUAUCGCAUUUACUGUUUUGGCCCCUAAUAAAGGUGCAUUUGUUGUGAUUAA